UACGUAGGGUGCAAGCGUUGUCCGGAAUUAUUGGGCGUAAAGAGCUCGUAGGCGGUUUGUCGCGUCUGUUGUGAAAACCCGAGGCUCAACCUCAGGCCUGCAGUGGGUACGGGCAGACUAGAGUGCGGUAGGGGAGAUUGGAAUUCCUGGUGUAGCGGUGGAAUGCGCAGAUAUCAGGAGGAACACCAAUGGCGAAGGCAGAUCUCUGGGCCGUAACUGACGCUGAGGAGCGAAAGCAUGGGGAGCGAACAGG
rnacentral:rRNA from 1 species